rnacentral:rRNA from 1 species
UUCGACUGCGUUCCCCACUCCAACCCAUGUGAACGUUACCAAACUGUUGCCUCGGCGGGAUCUCUGCCCCGGGUGCGUCGCAGCCCCGGACCAAGGCGCCCGCCGGAGGACCAACCAAAACUCUUUUUGUAUACCCCCUCGCGGGUUUUUUAUAAUCUGAGCCUUCUCGGCGCCUCUCGUAGGCGUUUCGAAAAUGAAUCAAAACUUUCAACAACGGAUCUCUUGGUUCUGGCAUCGAUGAAGAACGCAGCGAAAUGCGAUAAGUAAUGUGAAUUGCAGAAUUCAGUGAAUCAUCGAAUCUUUGAACGCACAUUGCGCCCGCCAGUAUUCUGGCGGGCAUGCCUGUCCGAGCGUCAUUUCAACCCUCGAACCCCUCCGGGGGGUCGGCGUUGGGGAUCGGCCCUGCCUCUUGGCGGUGGCCGUCUCCGAAAUACAGUGGCGGUCUCGCCGCAGCCUCUCCUGCGCAGUAGUUUGCACACUCGCAUCGGGAGCGCGGCGCGUCCACAGCCGUUAAACACCCAACUUCUGAAAUGUUGACCUCGGAUCAGGUAGGAAUACCCGCUGAACUUAAGCAUAUCAAUAAGCGG